CAUCCCGACUUACCAACCCGAUGCAAACUACGAAUACCGAAGAAUGUUAUCACGGGAGACACACGGCGGGUGCUAACGUCCGUCGUGAAGAGGGAAACAACCCAGACCGCCAGCUAAGGUCCCAAAGUCAUGGUUAAGUGGGAAACGAUGUGGGAAGGCACAGACAGCCAGGAUGUUGGCUUAGAAGCAGCCAUCAUUUAAAGAAAGCGUAAUAGCUCACUGGUCGAGUCGGCCUGCGCGGAAGAUGUAACGGGGCUAAACCAUGCACCGAAGCUGCGGCAGCGACACUAUGUGUUGUUGGGUAGGGGAGCGUUCUGUAAGCCUGCGAAGGUGACCUGUGAGGGUUGCUGGAGGUAUCAGAAGUGCGAAUGCUGACAUAAGUAACGAUAAAGCGGGUGAAAAGCCCGCUCGCCGGAAGACCAAGGGUUCCUGUCCAACGUUAAUCGGGGCAGGGUGAGUCGACCCCUAAGGCGAGGCCGAAAGGCGUAGUCGAUGGGAAACAGUUUAAUAUCC
rnacentral:rRNA from 1 species